rnacentral:lncRNA from 1 species
AAGUCUAUAAAGUUGUGCUUAAUUUUAUGCUGCGAACUCCUACUAACAUUCCCUUACUCCUUACUUAACUCUCUACUCUUCUUAGAACUCCUACUUAAGGAAAUAACCUUACAUCUUGGUUUAUAGAAUGCCUCAUAUAAUAACAUGCUACAAAAAGAGUGCCGGCAUAAUGGAGGCGGAGGAGGAGGCGGUCAUAAUGGAAGCGGCAGAGGAAGGCGACAAUAAUACU